UCCCUUCUUUCUUCUUUUUUCUUUCUCUAACUAAUAAUAAUAAUAGAAGGAUUCGCCUCUAUUCAAUUCCCAUUCAACCACAUUUUGAUACCAUUUUUUUCUUUUUUUUGGGAGAGAUGAUGGAUGGAUGGAUGGAUGGUUAAAUUCGGCGGUGUCCUCCGAAACACCUCUAAUCUUCUGCUCUAACAAGAGUUUGGAGCAGCGGCAUCCCAAUUCCCAGUGAUUCUUACAAGAAAUCCCGAUGCCACUUGAAGAAGUUUAGGGAAAUUCAAGGAGCUUAGGCUAAUUUCUUUUAUGUAUAUAUACAAAACAAAAGAGAGAUAACAUCUAGUAUUAGAGUAGUUUGGGGAAAUUAAUCGAGGGAUAUCUCUUUUUAUUGUAAUUUUAGGGAUUUUAGAAUCAAUUACUGCUAAGGUUGCAAUGAAGAGCCGAUCACAUAGGCUACCGGUCGAUCCACGACAUGAGUGGGUGGAGGAGGAGGAGUCGUGGACGGUGGACUGCGUCUGCGGCGUCAAUUUUGAUGAUGGGGAAGAGAUGGUUAAUUGCGACGAGUGCGGAGUCUGGGUACACACCCGCUGCUCCCGCUACGUCAAGACUGAAAAAUCAUUUGUCUGUGACAAGUGUAAGAAGAGCAAGAACAAUCACCCCCACCACCAUGCUACUAGUACUGAUAAUGAUUACUACAAUAAUAGUUUUAGGAAUGAUAGCGAGGAGACUGAGGUCGCCCAACUCCUUGUUGAGUUGCCCACUAAGACUUUGAGGAUGGAUAAUCAUUGUCCGCCCCCUCUCCCCUCCUCCUAUAAGCCUUCCCCUUUCCCCCCUCCCCGCAGGCCCUUUAGGCUCUGGACUGACAUUCCUAUGCAAGACAGGGUUCAUGUCCAAGGGAUCCCCGGUGGGGAUCCUACUCUGUUUUCUGGCUUGUCCUCUGUCUUUGGGCCCCAUUUGUGGAAAUGUACUGGUUAUGUUCCCAAGAAGUUCAAUUUUAGGUACAGAGAGUUUCCGUCUUGGGAUGAGGAGGAGGAGGAGGAGGAUGUGGAGAAAGACGUUAACGCUAACAUUGAUGAUGGAGGAGAGCCUCGUAUUAUUGCUGAUAACGGCAUGGCUGAUUUGUUCUCCUUGUCGAGAGAGCACCUUUUGCCUGUUCCAAAGGUUGAGUCAGUUGGUCUAGACGGCCAGGCUGAAGAUGGUGAGGCUGAUAAGCUGGUGAUGUCCCCUAAACAAAUCACUAUGUUGGAGGGUCAUAUAAACUUGGAUGUUUCCACACCAGAGAAUGAGCCUAAGAAGGAUAGAAGCUUGCUACAGGCUCCUGUGAUACACUUUUCCAAGCGCAAGAAGGACGAUGUCACUAAUCCAAAGGAUAAAAGCGGGAAGAAGAAGGCUCGGAUUAUGGAAAAAGAUGGAGACUUUAAGAAGAAAUGUUUACACACUCCUGGAACAGCUUCGACAAACGCAAGUGAUGCAAAACAAUCACAAAUAUCUGAAGAAAGAGGCCCUAAGAACAUUCAAGCGGAUCCUCAAAGUGGUAAUAGUGGAAACUCAAGUCACUCGCCCCCUGGCCUCCAAUUAUCACAUGAAUUCGGGAUAGUAGACUAUGUUGUUGAUGCUCACAAAUCUAAUUUGGGUUCAAGUGAGAGUGGUUCAGCAAAAUUAUCUUUUGAUGCACCUCGACAUAGUUCCUCAAGUAUACCAAUGCCCAAGGAUGCAAAUGGUGGACAGCAACUUACUGUGAAGUUGGAGGGUUCUUCAAAAACUAUGGGUAGUGCAGCCUCACUUUCAGGAAACAACGAUUCUGGGGGAGUCCCUGUAAAACAAGAGGUUUCCAUUCGUACUGCUGUCAGUCCAAAUGAAUUUGGAGGGGAGUUAACAACUAAGGUUGUGAUGGACUUGCAGAUGUCAAGCCCACAUCCUGCAGACUUGGCAACUGCCCAGCCCAAAACUGAGGUUAAUGAAAAUGCUCCGGAUUCAAGCCUUAAUACAGUCUCUAGUUGUUCAGAGGUACAUGCUAAAGUCAAAAGCGAACUAGCUGAUACUCAUAGAAACAUUCAGCCACCACCUCUAUAUGAUGCUAACUUGGGUGCAUCAGGAACCUUAGUCAAAUCUAAAGUGGUAUCUGCUGAUUGUUCAUCUGAAAAUGUUGUAGUUAGUGAUGUUACGAUUACUGAUUCUGAGGUCAGCAAAAGAAAGAUGGAGGAUGUUGUCAAAAGAUCAGAUGAUGUUGAUAUUCGAAAAGAUAGAGUAGAUAGGGUUGAUGGUGAAUCACCGCUUAACUCUUGUCCAUCUAAUCAUGAUUAUGCAGGCUUGGAUAGUUCUUUUGAAUCAAAGAAAAUCUUGGAAGGAUUCAGUUCGAAUUCUGGUGUUGAGCUUUCUAAACCUGGUCUCACAGUUGUAAGUCCUAGAGUUAAUGCUAGCGAGGGUAAAACCAUAGCAUCUGUAGGGAACUUGUCUCCAGCUUCAUCAACAUUUGCAAUGCCAAAAUCCUUUGCUUCUGAGAAUUGCAUCAGUGCAAGUAACCAAAAUCACAAUACGGAUAGUAAGCAGAAGGGGAUUCCUGAGAGCAAUCUUGCUGGCAACCAGGGCAAUGGUGGUGCUACAAUUGAGGUAGUUAAGGAUAAAGGGGGGCAUGAAAGGACAAGGAAAUUAGUGAAAGAGCUACCAAAAUCCGCUCUUGGUUCUGUGUCAAAAUCAUCACAGUUGAAAAAGUUUUCACAUCCCUCAGUUUCAAAAAGGACAUCGCCUGAUAUAAAGGAUUCAAUGCUUCAUUCUUCUGCCCAACCAUCGCCAUUGCAUCAUAUUGCUUCGAACACUGGAUCGGAGCUGACUAAUGUGGUGCACAUUGAGAACGCUUCAGACACAGAAAAGAUGUCUAGUAUGCUACAAACUGAGACUGCUUCAAGCAUGCAAAAGAAAGUUCCAGGUUCUGUUUCUUCGCAGAAGGUUGAAAAGAUUAGCCCUUCUAUGGCCCAAUCUUUAUCAAAAGUGAACACAACUCUAACACAUGCAGCUACAUCUUCAAACUCUCCUGCAACACUAAGUGACGAAGAGCUGGCUCUGUUGUUGCAUCAAGAACUUAACAGUUCUCCUAGAGUUCCUCGGGUACCGCGCAUGCGUCAUGCUGGUAGUUUACCUCAGUUGACAUCGCCAACUGCUACAAGCACACUAAUGAAGCGAACAUCUAGUACCGGAGGAAAAGAUCAUGUUUUGACUUCUAGAAGAAAAACCAAAGAUCUAGCUAAAGAUGGUUCCCAUGGUUCUCGGGAGAUGGAUGACGAAGCUAAGAAGAUGGAGAGAGUCUCUUCUUCACUUGAUCAUGGUAGGCAAGAUUCAGCAUUUGCCUCUGAUCCUGUUGGCAAGAAAGAAGCAGAGAGAGAAUCAGCCAAUGGUGUGUACUCUACAAAGAAGAGUAAUGCACCAUCUGGAGCUACUGCAGCUGGUGAUUUAUCUUCUCCUGCUGAAGGAAAUGAACAUAAUUUGUUGUCCACUCGGCAUUCUUCUAGAACUCCCAUUGAUGAUGAGAAAGGAGUUGUUGGACACCAUACCCACCGCACUUUGCCUGGUUUGCUUGCUGAGAUUAUGAGCAAAGGUCAACGCAUGACAUAUGAAGAACUUUGCAAUGCAGUUCUACCGCAUUGGCCUAACCUGCGGAAGCACAAUGGAGAGCGAUAUGCAUACUCAAGUCACUCACAAGCUGUUCUUGAUUGCCUUAGAAACCGAAAUGAAUGGGCUCGCUUAGUUGAUCGUGGUCCCAAGGGCUGAAAAUGUAAAACCACUUGCAAAAUGGUUGGGAAGGGGACUUGAUAUCCAGAGAUGGAAUUGUUCUUGGUCCCUCCUCUCUCUCUCUCUCUCUCUCUCUCAAUAUUUUGACAGCUGAACCGCACAUAUCUGUGGGCAGGGUUGGAGACUUGCACAUCUGUGCAUGCACUCCAUACGCUCACAAAUGCAAGUUAAAUAUAGUUUCUGAUUUGGACUUUGGGACAAGUGGAGGCAGGAGAAAACGCAAGCUUGGUGCUGAUCAUGCUGAUGUUGAUUCAGAGGAUAACGAUGAUAGCAGGGAGCAGACUGCAAAAGAUACCAGAAGUAAAACUGUUGAGUCGCAUCAUGAGGAAUUCCCAAAGGGCAAGCGGAAAGCACGAAAGCGCAGGCGGUUAGCUCUGCAAGGGAGAGGUAUCAAGGAUGUUAGGCGGCGGAGGAGGACAGAUGAACUCAGUGAUGAUGAAGUUGGUUCACUUUCCGAGUCGAGUGAGGAAACCAUGUGCAGUGAAGAUGAGAUGCAAGGAUGUCGGAUGUCUGCAUCUGGUAAUGAGGUGCCUACUGGCUCGGACGGGACAGGCAACACUUAAACUCAUGUUUCUGUCUUGUGCUAUUGUGCCAUGCGUUUAAGGGAAUGCUUCCAUCUGAUGAUGUUGAGAAACGAGAGGGACGACCCUUGCUGUUAGGCCAAGUGCUGUGAAAUUAUUUUUUUUUUGCCCUCUGUGUAAAUAUGUAAAUCCUUUUUAAGUGGUUGGCUCUUUAGUUGCAUUCAGUGUGUUCUUAAAGAGUAUCAAGCGUAUUCAACAACUUUUAAGUACCUUUUGGGUGAGUGCUGUAGUGUGGUCUCUUGAUGUCCCUUGCCGGCAGAUGGGGGCAUGGCUAUGAUUGUUAGGUUGAUAAGAGUAGUUUGUAAGGUUUAUAAAUUCCAUUGUCUAACAUUUGCCAAGCGGGCGAUCGAUCUUUAUGAAUCUUGACGCGUAGGCAGAAGGUUUGGAAUCUUUACAGCAUUCCAGCAGGGCAAGGGGAGCUAGUGUUGAAUGGCUGGGGAUGUUUUCUUGGAAGCCUUGGCAUCAAAAAAUGGAAUCGUUUGAAGUUGGGAGGACAACUAUUUUUGCCGGAUACGCCGAGUUGAAGGAUCUUUCUUAGCAAAACUAUUAUUAUGUUGAUAUGAUGCUACAAGCUGCAAAAGAAGUAGAGUUUAUUAUGUCGUGUCAGGGUGUGAUUGCCUGAAAAGUUAAAAUGGCCGUACUCUUAUUAUCAUGUGGCUAACCUGAUAUAAGGUUAAAAGAGGGCAUGAAGCCGUCGGCACGGGUGGUAGGCAGCAGAGGGCGGUGGCUGUAACUCAAAAAGUUUGGCUCGCCUCACAAGGUUGAAGUUUUAACCGCAAGCAUUUGGUCUUCUGGGACUAAUUUCCUAUAUGCAUCCUCGUAAGUGACGCUAUAAUGAAAACACUAGUAGAGUACGUGUAUGUAAAUAGAUAGACGCUAGAGUGUAUCUAGAUCUUUCUUUCCUCUUGCGGAAAACUUUUUCUGAUGAUACGUACGGUUGUUGCA